rnacentral:lncRNA from 1 species
UUGGCAUCACCAGUUAAAAGAGAUUGAGAACAAGAACGUUCUUUCAGCGUGCCCACACCCCUGCCUGGCUUAACGGGUUUGAAAUGUGAGGGGAAGCCAAGUAGCCAGCUUGCCUCUGUUACUCAUGGCCCAGUGGGUCGGCUCAUGACCCUCAGGCCAGCCUGUGCCACUUUGGUGACUGGUGGCUACUUUGUGGUCAACUCUUGAAGCAUCAGCACAGCAUGAACAAACCAAAAGUGAAAUUCAGAAAUGGCUGCAGAAGCCAAACUGUUACCCAGCCCCUCUGAAAUCCCCCAAGCACUGGGGGAGCCACAACCAGUUUGGGGGCCAUUAGGAACAUUUUAAUCUAUAAGGCUAUGUGCUAUGGAGGGGUAGGGGAGAGAUGGUUGCAGGAGGCCAUGGGAGGGUUGAGACCCACAGGCCAGAGUCCAGGCCAUAAGACCCUCAUGAUGAGAAUGUUGACAAUAACAAAAUACUACUACUACUACUGCUGCUACUACUACUGCUGCUGCUGCUGCUGCUGCUGCUGCUGCUACUACUGCUACUACUUACGUUUUAACAUUUUUCAGAGCUUUGCUAUUUAUGAUUAUUCUGUCCUAGAUGAUUGCAGCAACAUUAUGAAGUACGUCUCAGGUUGAGUCCCCUAGAAACAGACCCUGAGAUGGAGAUUUGCAUGUAGGGGUUCGUUGGGGAGGGGAUCUUGGGAGUCCCACCUGGGAAGGGUAAGAGAGCAGUGGGGCUUUGAUGCUGCUGCAACAGAGGCCUCCACUGGCCCCUGGGGAGCUUGGAGCUUUGGAAACCUGCAGAGUUGAAGCAAGGGUUCCCCGUGUCCCUUCCAUAGGCUGCUCAUUAGACCAGCGGGGGGUUUGGUGAGGAUGCAGAAGGCGCUCAGCCACCAGUGUGGAAGGGGUACCCUGGCCUUGGAGCAGAAUCUGAAGAGGACACUGAGCACCCACCACACAUGGGCACUCUCAGGAUCUCUGCUACAGAGCAGGUGCUGAGUAGUGAGAUUUGCCCAGGGAAUGAGCCUACCUGGUGGGAUCAUCAUGUGGACCUGGAGGUCCUGACUUACUCAAGACCACUCAGCUACUAAGUGGCCACACUGGGAUUCCAGCUAAAGACUGUUUUAGGUUAGAGCUUCCUGAUCUCAGAAUGGACCCCCUGACCUAAGAAUAGGACCCCCCCCCACCUCAGGAUGGACUCCCCAACAUUAGAAUAAACUCUCUGACCUCAGAAUGAAUUCCUGGGCCUAAGAAUGAACUUUCUGACCUCAGAAUGGAUUCCCUGACCUCAGAAUAGACUCUCUGACCUCAGAAUGGACCCCCUGACCUAAGAAUAAAUCCCCCACCUAAGAAUGAACCUCCAACCUGAGAAUGAACUCCCGAAGCAAUAAUGGAUUCCCUAACCUAAGAAUAGACUCUUCAACCUAAGAAUAAACUUCCUGACCCAAGCAUGAAUCCCCUGACCUAAUAAUAGACUCCCCAACCUAAACAGGAACUUCCUGACCUAGGAAUGAACUGCCUGACCUCAGAAUGAACUUCUUUACUUAAGAAUGAACUUUCUGCCAUCAGAAUGGACCCUUGACCUCAGAAUGAACUCCCCGACCUCAGAAUGAACUCCCUGACCUCAGAAUGGACUCCCUGACCUCAGAAUGGACUCUCUGACCUCAGAAUGAACUCUCUGAACUCAGAAUGAACUCUCUGAACUCAGAAUGAACUCCCUGACCUCAGAAUGGAUUCCCCGACCUAAGAAUGGACUCCCUGACCUAGGAAUGAACUCUCUGACCUCAGAAUGAACUUUCUGAACUCAGAAUGGACUUCCUGACCUCAGAAUGGAUUCCCUGACCUAAGAAUGAACUCCUUGAUCAUUUUGCAGAAACCAGUUACUCAAAGAGCUAUGCUGUUCUUAUGCCCUGUGAUGGAUCUACUGGGGAUAGAGAUAAGAGCCUGUCUGCCUGCCUCAGCCUGUGCACCUGAUCGUUCUUUUCCUGAAGCAACUUGUCAUGCCUUCACAGUGCACACCUGACCAGUUCCAAACCAAAAAGGGAUGUGCCUGGACGUGUGUGGAUAGAUGGCUGAGGGAGACAUUAUUGUUGUUGUUGAGCCUCCAUCAUCUCUCACCUGGACUGGUGCAGUCUUCUCCAAGGUAAAGAUGGCUAAUGGUCUCCCGCAUUCAUCCCCCUUUUUCCUUAGGAACAGAACUCCCGAUUAUUUUGAAGUGGGAGGGCACAUGGUAGCUCAGAAUACAGACCUGCAUUUGCCAGCCUCCCCUGGAGCUCUGGCCAAUAGGAAAUAAACAGAAGUGUCCUAUACGACUUCUAGGAAAUACACUUAAAAGGACAGAAUGGGUUCUUCUUUGACCUUUCCUUACAGCAGCUUGCUGGAAUGCAGGCGUGCUGGCUGGGACUGAACCACCCUCUGGGACUGUGAGGCAGCAAUGUUGGAUGGCGGGGAAGCAGGCUGGAAGAAAAUUUAAGGUCUCCAUUACCAGCCUCAAUCGGCCUAUCUCUAUACUUGGUUUACAUUAGAGAGAGAAGCAACUGUGUUACUGAAGUCAUUGUUAUUUGGGAAUUUUGGCCCCAUGCAGCUGAUCCUAAUUAGCUACAUCUCUGAUAUAGUUUCCUGCCCCUGCCCUUACCCAACCCCCUCAUUUUUUAUUUCCAACAUAGCAACCACAGUGGUUCUUUAGAAACUUGUCAGUCCCCCCCAGCUCAAACCCUCCUUUGGCUUCCCGCUCACUCUGACUAUAAGCCAAAAUCGAAUCAAAGCCAAGUCCCUGCAUGGCAUGCACCUUCCAUCUCCCCACCUCAUCUUCUCCCCCUUGUACCCUUGUUCACACCAAUUCAGCUCCAGUGCCCUGUUUGCUGUUCUCAGAGCAAGCUGUGUUUGCGCCUUUCCCAGGGCUGAGGGUUAGAGGUUAGCUGUUCUUGCAGUGGACGCUGACAGGGCUGGCUUUCUCUUUUCAUCCUAGUUUCUGCUCAAAUGUCACCUCAUCUGAGAGACCUUCCCUGACCCUCCUACCUAAAACAGCUCACACCUUCCCCAUCCCUCUCUAGCUGAGUGCCUUUUUUCUCUACACGUGAUAAGGACAGGAGACAGGGAAAUACUGAGAAGUGGGCGGUUCCCCAGCAAAGAUCCCACCCUCAAGCCUGGAAACCCGUGGCCCUAAAUGGGAACAGCCCUUCCUGUUUUCAAGCCCAAAAGUUGCCUUUUGGCCUGCUGUGCCCCCCUAUCCUGUACUUGUACAAACCCCAGACCCUAGGCUUCAGAAGCAGACGAGGGAACGAGCAGAAGAACAGAAGAACAGCAGAAUGGCAUGGCAGAGAGAAGAAAGGGACCAUCUGAACGCCAAGAGAAAUUCAGCUGGGGGAGGUCAGAGAGGAGAUAGACUGCAGGACAGCCAAGCUCCAGGGGAAGAUCAUCUUCCCACUCCAUCCCCUUUCCAGCUCCCCAUCCAUCCCGCUG